CCUUGCACUAAUAGUGAUAGUUACCACUGCAUUUAGAAAUGGAAAGCAUUCAUGCAGACAAGGAUGAUUCUUUAUAUUUUUGGCUACCACUUCAAAUGCCUCCACCAAGUGUUACAAUGCUGCACGCAGCCAUACUAAGGAUCUCGCAGCAACACCUGCAGGUAAAAAGCAGAAGCAGCCAAAGUUCUGGUGUGUACUGGACACUAUGUUUGAAAACUUUUAGGCAAGAAGAGUGCAAGAAGCAGACAUAACAACUGCAUUUAUUUCCAUAAUUCCCCAUUUGAAUGACCUUUUCUUUUUGCUUAGACAAUGCCUACGCCUAGCCACAGCAGCUCCCUCAUACAGACUCCGCAAGCCAAGAGGCCGUGGAGGCAAAUGCAGGCCGCCAGCACACCUCGAACAGCCACCUUGACUGCGGGUGUGUCACCCUAGUCGCCAAGGAAACAUUUGAGGGAAAGCGACAGGCUAUGUGAACAGCCACUUCUCCAUGUAAACGAUACUCUUUCUCUCGGAUGACUCCUACGCCUCGCCACGCCAGCACACUUGUGCACAAAGAUGCCGCGGAGGCACGUGCAGGUCAGAGGCAAGAAGCAGUGGCACUGGUGUCGACAUUCACCCAAUUUCUUUUUCUUACACUGAGGCAGCCAGCACACCUCGAACAGCCACCUUGACUGCGGGUGUGUCACCCUAGUCGCCAAGGAAACAUUUGAGGGAAAGCGACAGGCUAUGUGAACAGCCACUUCUCCAUGUAAACGAUACUCUUUCUCUCGGAUGACUCCUACGCCUCGCCACGCCAGCGCACUUGUGCACAAAGAUGCCGCGGAGGCACGUGCAGGUCAGAGGCAAGAAGCAGUGGCACUGGUGUCGACAUUCACCCAAUUUCUUUUUCUUACACUGAGGCAGCCAGCACACCUCGAACAGCCACCUUGACUGCGGGUGCGUCAGUAGAUUCCUGUUGUACAUAUGCUCAUAAUAAACUUCAGUAAACUUGAACUUGAUAAUAAACUUGAAGGCAAAUGGGA